AGGGCUGACUGCCACUGGGGAAGGAUCUCUGGUUGGAGAUCCCUUUCUGGUGGAGUUUUUCCAGGGAGUGACCUUUGGAGAUGGGAUUUCUCAAGAAAUGGCGACUUACAUCACCAUCUUUCUCCAGCUGACUGCACCACUAAACUCCUGGUCAUCUUUGGCGCAGCAGGAAGAGUCAAAGUCAGAUUCUCAGCUGACAUGAAAUGGGAUCAGGUUGUGCUGAUUGUAAAAGAGUUACGAGGAGUGAUACCAACUGAAUGUCCAGCUUGAGCUGAGUAUAGAAUGGUGACAAUCAACUGUGACAGCUCUGCAGCUUGUACUACUGGCGAGAGCAAUAGGAGAACUAAAGGUUAAAAUAAAAGACUGCACCUGUUUGAAGUUACUCCACAGAAACUGAAGAAGUCAAAACAUGGUGAAAUUGGAG
ensembl:lncRNA